GGAAGCGCAUUGCAGUGGAGUACUUGUUGGCCCAGUCCAACAGAGGUGACCAGUUGAUUGCACAUCACAAUGACAUGCCUGAAGUCCCCCCAGAGGAGCCCGAAGAGGAUAGUGAAAUUGACACGACUGUGUGCUAUGCAGCUGACCUUAGGGCUGAUGACUCUGACCCUCCAGUAGCUGUCGUACAGGCCCAGGUGACCAGUCAGGUUGGUGACACUGAACCCAAAUCCCCUGAUGAGGAGGUCACUAAGGAAGAGGAAGAUGACACUGCAAGUCCUAGCACAUCAAGCCAGCGUUUUUCUCAAUUUUCAGACUACACAGUGUGAUUCCAGAGGUGUCUUGGGCUGGGAGGCAGUUGAUGCCCUGGCAGCCUACUUGGUUGGCCUAAACCGAACGAUCACUGCCUUGUCAUCACAAGAGGAGGCCAACAUAGUCCAGCUGUACAUGGCUCUGCAUGCCAUGGACAAGGUACCAUCAAAAUAUAGCCAGAGGGUUAAGAAGAAGGCUUUGACAGGACCUUGGAGAGCAUCCAGGAAGCAGAGUGGCUCUGCUCCAGGACAGCAGGCAGCAGAGAGAUUGUUCAUGACUCAUGGGCAGGCAGCUCAGGACCCUGAAGUCCACAGGGUCUGUGAAUGUGUUUGCCUAAGGCUUUUGAAAGAGUUUCAGCAAGCACGGAACAGGCCCAGGGACACACAAGGAAAAACUCUGCCAAUUCCACAAUCUAUUGUGGUGGUAUACAGCCACUUAAAACAGCUGAUGGAGGACAGCAGAGAGGUUCUAGGACAGACUAACCUAGUUCUGGUCCCGAUAAACACCACUACUGUCUCCUCUUGGCUACUAAGAAGACAGAAACGUGUAGACAGAGACAUGCUUCUGCAGGGUACUGCACUGCCCAAACAAUUAUAUUUGGCAAAGGAGGCUCUUCCUGAAGUGCGCGCACUUCCAGCUGUUCCUGCACAGCAUGGGCAUGAGGCCAUGGUAUUUCAGAAUACAGCAAAUCAGGAGGGAGAGGCCUUCAUUUGUAAGCGUAUCUCCAACAGGUGCCCAUUGCCCACCCCUCCUCCUGGAUCUUACUCUGCAUUUCCCAUAUACCCACCAGCACCACACUUUGCAUUCCCCCCUGGGUCCUACCCACCCUUUUCCAGCUACCCACCAGGUCUACCACUUCCUCAGUCUACCCAAUUCCAGCCCCCUCCCCAAUUCCAGCCACCUCCCCAAUUCCAGCCCCCCCCCCAAUUCCAGCCGCCUAAAAACCUGCCACCACAAACUUGUCCCUCUACUCAGCCCAGGCAGCGCACAUGGAGAAGGCAGAAAGCUGCCCAAGAGGAUGAAGAGCGAGUGGCUAGAGGUGAACCACCACAGAAAUGACUAGCAAAGGAUAUAUUAUCACUACAUCUGCAAGCAGUGUGGGCUGGCAAAAAAUAAGACAACUGGCCACACUCAGCUGAAGGGCCGGUGGUAUUGUCCAGCCUCAGGCCUCUCUGUUGCACAGUGGAGGGAGAAUGUACAGGGAGGUCUUUGAUUUUUUAAUCACUGGUGUAUAUAAUAAUGUAUAUAGUUAGGUUUUCAUAUAGUUGCAUAUGGUUCCGUUUUUAAUUGUGUUUGCUGUGCUGUGUGUGUGUUGUGCUGUGAACAUUUUGUUUUUAGUUGCUGUUUCCAGUGUUUAAUUUGCAGUGUUUGUAAAAAAAAGAAAGACACAACUCUUGUGGUGUAAUAGUAACACAUCCACCCUUUGGGUGGAAGAUUCCAGGUGCAAGUCCUGGCAAGAGUGUGUGGUGUGUUUGUCAGAUUAUUAUUAUUAUUAUUAUUAUUAUUAUUAUCAUUAUUAUUAUUAUUAUUAUUAUUAUUUUAUUUUUUUAUUAUUAGAAAAUGUAUAGUCAAAAAAAAAAAACACUUUACUUAAAUCCUUUAUAGCAUGGAUAUUUUUUUCUUUCCUUUUCUUGCUUUCCCUCCUUUCUCCUUCUCUUUUCCCUUUCUUUCCCCCUUGUAGCAGUCCCUUUUGCCCUGUUUUGAACUAACCCUUUAAGGCGAUGGACUGCUAAUCCAUUGUGCUCUGCAAGCGUGGGUUCGAAUCCCAUCCUCGUCGUUCUUUGCAGUUAAUGGUGGUUUUUACUUUAGGGGCACCUUCCUUAUGUGACACGUUCAGUUCAUUGAGUGCUCUACAAACAAGCUGAUGAUCUGAAACAGGUGUGUUAAAAAAUGGAGUCACGCAGGGUGACGAGGUGGCCUUGCGGUUAAGUAGAUGGAC
ensembl:lncRNA